UACGUAGGGGGCAAGCGUUGUCCGGAUUUAUUGGGCGUAAAGAGCGUGUAGGCGGUUAGGUAGGUCCGUUGUGAAAACUCGAGGCUCAACCUCGAGACGCCGAUGGAAACCAUCUAACUAGAGUCCGGAAGAGGAGAGUGGAAUUCCUGGUGUAGCGGUGAAAUGCGCAGAUAUCAGGAAGAACACCCGUGGCUAAGGCGGCUCUCUAGUACGGUACUGACGCUGAGACGCGAAAGCGUGGGGAGCGAACAGG
rnacentral:rRNA from 1 species